rnacentral:rRNA from 1 species
UACGUAGGGGGCAAGCGUUGUCCGGAUUUACUGGGCGUAAAGAGCGUGUAGGCGGCCAUACAGGUCCGUUGUGAAAACUGGAGGCUCAACUUCCAGACGUCGACGGAAACCGUGUGGCUAGAGUCCGGAAGAGGAGAGUGGAAUUCCUGGUGUAGCGGUGAAAUUCGUAGAUAUCAGGAGGAACACCGGUGGCGAAGGCGGGUCUCUGGGCCGAUACUGACGCUGAGGAGCGAAAGCGUGGGGAGCGAACAGG